UGACUUGGCGUUUUUUCCCCAUUGAGAGUCAGAGGUUGCCCCCAUUUUCCACCCUCUCAACUGACACUGUAUGUCUAGAGCCUUAUCCAUUUGGAUCACCAGCUCCCUAGCCAUCUCUAUGUGAUUCCCCCCUACCCAUCUGAGUUCCAGUUUCCUUUGAGCUCCUAUCUCCAGUCCCCGGUGGAUCUGGUCAGUCCCACCCCUUGGUGGGAGUGACCAGGGGGCUCUGGCCCGGGAUUCCCCACCCUGGAAGGCAGCUCCAAAACAGUAAGAGAAUUGGGCGUCGGGUACCAACCUGGCUGCUCAGGAGUGGGCGCUCCACUCACCCCACACAAGAAGAUGAAAAAGCGCAAAGAACUCAGAUAGGCUUGGCGGGGGACAGCCGGAGAAAGAAGCCCAAGAAAGGCUCAAGCAGCCACCGCCUACUUUGCACAGAGCCUCCUGACUCAGACUCUGAGUCUACCUCCGAGGAGGAAGAGGAAUUCGGUGUGGCUGGGAAUCGCUCUCGCUUUAUCAAGGGAGACUAUUUACGAUGCUGCAAGAUCUGUUAUCCCCUCUGUGGUUUUGUCAUCCUUGCUGCCUGUGUUGUAGCCUGCGUUGGCUUGGUGUGGAUGCAAGUUGCUCUCAAGGAGGAUUUGGAUGCCCUCAAGGAAAAAUUUAGAACAAUGGAAUCUAAUCAGAAAAAUUCAUUCCAAGAAAUCCCCAAACUUAAUGAAGAACUACUGAGCAAACAAAGACAACUUGAAGAGAUUGAAUCUGGAGAUCUGGGCUUGAAUACAGUCUGGAUAAACGUCACAGAAAUGAAUAAGCAGAUUUCUCUGUUGACUUCUGCAGUAAACCGUCUCAAAGCCAAGGUUAAGUCAGCUGCAGACUUAAUUAGCCUGCCUGCCACUGUAGAGGGACUUCAGAAGAGUGUAGCUUCCAUUGGCAAUACUUUAAUCAGUCUCCAUCUUGCUGUGGAGGCAAUACAGAAAACUGUGGAUGAACAUAAGAAAACCUUGGAAUUACUGCAGUGAUAUGGAUCAGCACUCGUUGGGGGAGACUGAUGAUGACACCCAGAUCAUUCUGUCACCUUCAGGCACAUCAGAACUUGGCAAUAAAACCCACACUGAGAAUUUGAAAGAGAUGGGUAACAGAGCUGCCACUCUGAAAAGAGAGUCUUUGGAUCAAGUGACCAGUAAUACAGAUACAGUAAAAAUCCAAAGCAUAAAGAAAGAAGAUAGUUCAAAUUCUCAGGUAUCCAAGCUAAGAGAGAAACUACAGCUGAUCAGUGCUCUCACAAACAAACCUGAGAGCAACAGGCCUCCAGAGACCACCAGUGAAGACGAAGUACAGAGUUUCACAUCAAAUCCAUCAGCAUUGCCAAAAUUUUCAAAGUCUCCUGGAGGCCCCGUCAAGAAAGCUGCCCAACUCAGACCUGUCUCUCUACCAGGAAUUUCCAGCAUUUAUUCCAGGAUUUAUUCCUCAAGACUGGCCAGGACAUGGACGGGAAGCUGACCUACCAGGAAAUCUGGAACUCACUAGGUUCUGCCAUGCCAGGACCAGAGAGCUUUAAAGCAUUUGAUUCUGAUGAAGAUGGAAGAUACUCAUUCCUGGGGCUAAGAGUAGCUUUAGGUGUCUAGCCUCAUUGGGCAUAUUUUAGAAAUGGCUAUAUACCCAGGACUGCCUAAUAACUACUGACCUAACAAAAAUAGCCCUUACCCAUCAGUCCUCUAGUCCUCCUAACUAUUGUAGCAGACACAUUGCCACCUUUUAAUUGUUUGAA